AUGAAGAUGAAGAUUGGCAAGGCCCCAGUGCUCAUGAAGAAGGCGGUGGCUAUCUGCAAAAGCAAGACCGGCGUCAUCAUGGCCAGGCUCCGCAUCCUCACUUCGCCCAACUGCAGGAUGGCCACGAUCGGCGCCAUCUCUCACAGGAUCCACACCCUCAUUCUGGAAAAUCAGGAGAAGGGUGCCAAGGUGGACUACCACAAGACUUUGGCCCGCAAGGUCGAGAGGCCGACAUGCCAUGGGAUGGUUGAUGAUCUGUGUCACCAGGUAGCAUAG
rnacentral:rRNA from 1 species